UACGUAGGGGGCAAGCGUUGUCCGGAUUUGUUGGGCGUAAAGAGCGUGUAGGCGGCCAGACAGGUCUGCUGUGAAAACUCGAGGCUCAACCUCGAGACGCCGGUGGAAACCGUCUGGCUAGAGUCCGGAAGAGGAGAGUGGAAUUCCUGGUGUAGCGGUGAAAUGCGCAGAUAUCAGGAAGAACACCCGUGGCUAAGGCGGCUCUCUAGUACGGUACUGACGCUGAGACGCGAAAGCGUGGGGAGCGAACAGG
rnacentral:rRNA from 1 species